GACGAACGCUGGCGGCGUGCCUAAUACAUGCAAGUUGAGCGCUGAAGGUUGGUACUUGUACCGACUGGAUGAGCAGCGAACGGGUGAGUAACGCGUGGGGAAUCUGCCUUUGAGCGGGGGACAACAUUUGGAAACGAAUGCUAAUACCGCAUAAAAACUUUAAACACAAGUUUUAAGUUUGAAAGAUGCAAUUGCAUCACUCAAAGAUGAUCCCGCGUUGUAUUAGCUAGUUGGUGAGGUAAAGGCUCACCAAGGCGAUGAUACAUAGCCGACCUGAGAGGGUGAUCGGCCACAUUGGGACUGAGACACGGCCCAAACUCCUACGGGAGGCAGCAGUAGGGAAUCUUCGGCAAUGGACGGAAGUCUGACCGAACAACGCCGCGUGAGUGAAGAAGGUUUUCGGAUCGUAAAACUCUGUUGGUAGAGAAGAACGUUGGUGAGAGUGGAAAGCUCAUCAAGUGACGGUAACUACCCAGAAAGGGACGGCUAACUACGUG
rnacentral:rRNA from 1 species